rnacentral:tRNA from 1 species
GGUAGAGCACUCGGCUGUUAACCGAGGGGUUGUAGGUUCGAGCCCUACUCGGGGAG